UAUCACUACAAUACUAUUUAUACAACCAGUAAUCCUUCUAGAGUACGUGUUGAGUAAUGCCUUUUUUAUCUACUGCUGUUCCUUCACCUUCUCUCGCCUCACCCACUCCCAUGCAACGUCCUCCGCUGCAGUCUUUCGCCCAGUACGCUGCACCUCGGUCACUUCUUGACCUGCAAUCAGCAGACUUUGACCGACGAUUACACCCACCACACAAGCCCAUGCCUCUCCCAAUUGUUUCCAAGUUCCCGGCAGACCAAUUCCAAGACGGCAGAGGUUUUGCCAAACGCCUUGCAAGAUCGUGAGCUUGUCCAUUAAUUGUUGAACCGAAAGACCAGAGAUAGCAUCGAGCACUUGUGAUCGAGUGAUGUAAUGCUCAGGCAGACCAAGGAGAUCGGGAAGAAGAGCCCGAGAAGGGUGGUGGAGAUGUCGGUGGAUGAUAGGGAACGUCGAAGGAGAUGGAAUAGGGAGGGGAACAAGAGGAAGAUGUAUGAAACCCUUGUCGUCCUUGAUAGGUUUCGGCAACCUGGGAAGGUCAACGAAUUCGACCUCUGAAUCACUGUCAGACCAUGAUGAUGAAGAUGAAAAGGAAGCAUCGGAAACAUUCUCUUCAGUCUCAACGAUAGCAGGGAGAGAGGUGGAUGCGGCUGACGUUGAAGGUGUGGGACGUUUGGGAGUAGGGAUAGGUAAUGAAGUGGUCAAAAGUCGAGGCCAGUAUGCGCAUUGAGUAGCAAAAACAAGACUAUUGACUGCAACAAUCAUGUUGCCUCUUGACUCCUCUACAGGUUUGCAAAUGACAGCAAGUGCCAGAUCGGGCUCUCGUCCUCGUGCUUUGGCAGCCCAAUGAGGUUUGCUACCGUCGACAACCUCUGGAAUGGCAAAGGCGAGAGUGGUACGAGGCAAGACUUUGGGGUCGGGGUGAGGAAUGGAAGCAUAAGGUCGGUAGGCAAGGGUAAUGGUAGCAAAGGAGGGAAGAAGAGGAAACAUGCGGUCGAAGAUGUAUUGAACGGGCUAAAUAUGUGGUACUCAUUAUCAAUGUACUCAAAAGAAGGGAACCUAGGAUAAGGCAACUUGAGAGGAACUUUGACUUGACCAGGAACCGGAGCAGGAGGGUGCCAAACGGCUCUUCUUAACCUCUCCAACCUCGCCAACUUCGCACUUUCCACAUCUGGUCCUUGAACCAACUUCAAAGGUGGAGGCCUGGUCUUACUCUUCUUUAUGGCAGCCUUGGGCCUAACACUCUUAGAUUUAACAGCAGCCUUCUUGGCACGGGUGAUAGAGGUAGAUCGGUUGUAAGGCUUGUUGGAGUGGCGACGAUAAGUGAAUUUGGGAGCACGGCCAAGACCAAGGGCAACGAUCUUCUUUUUGGGCGGAGGAGUAACUCCAGAAAGUGAGGUACGCAAGGAAAGAGAGAUGGCGUCGAUAUCGUUGAGGGCGAUGCUGGAUGGGGGGGAGUUUUCCUUAUUGGAAGAGACCCGAGGGUCAAGAUAAGUAGCCAUGGCCAAUGGACGGAAGGAUGAUCUAAAGAAGAAAAAAAAGCAGCAAGUCAAUAAUGCCCUCAAAGACUCAAUAACACCGGCCAAAACUCACGUUGAGUGAAAAAAUCUACUGUAGGAUAAAGAAGCCUGAGUAGUCGCUGAAGGCAGAGUGAACGGGCCUCGAGUCGUAAAUUAAGUGUCUGUAAGGCAGUGGACUGUUAGGGGAUUUGUUGGAAGCGGAUGCUGGACAGCUAUGCAUCCUGUAGCUCUCUCUUG
rnacentral:sRNA from 1 species